CCAGAGUGAAAGGGUCCCAGUGUCGCGACACGCGCGCGGACGCGCCUGUCAAGACAGGGCUCCCUCCCGAUGACUCGCCUGCCCCAGCAUCCAACUGGCUUCUUGGGGCGCGGGGGCCCGGAGCCCGAUGCACUCACACGUUGAGGACGUUGCGCUUGUUGCUGAGGUAGCUCUCGGGCAGCGGGGACAGCUCCUUGACGACCGAGCCCGCCAGCAUGGCGGCCACCAGCGCCCAGGGCAGGUGGCGCCGCACCGUCGCCCUCACCAGCGUCCCGCGGAGAAACCACGCGCAGCGCUCCAGGUGCUCCAUGCCGGUCCUUCUCGGCUACCGUCCGCCUUCCAGAGCCUUCUCGGCCACCGUCUUACCCUUCGCCCGAGCUGGCACCACCACAUCCCCUCUGGGCGCAUGCGCGCUUCCUGCAAGCUCCGCCCCCUAGAGGGCGUGUCUCCCUCUAGUGGCCUUGAUGGGUCUCUGCAGAGUGCAGGUCUGCAUUUACCUGCGCCGCUUCCACUCAUCGCCCCCAAGCUACUGGCUGAGAUCACUGCAGGCUGCUCUUUGCCUGGGCAACCUGCUCCCCUCAUGUUUGUGGGAUGGGAUUCUCGCUUUCUUUAUCUGCAAAACAAACAAGAGACCCACCUUUCUUAAGAGCUAGUUUGGGAGUUCCGUAUAUUGGGUCAGUUAUAGGGUUUUUCAGAUGAAAUUUCUUUGCAAAGUCAUUAAUAAAUUUAAAUCUUAUUUA
ensembl:antisense 2310001K24Rik RIKEN cDNA 2310001K24 gene